AACAAAACCAAGGAACAGAUUACAAGAAUCAUACAAUCAGGGAGCACAACUGGUGAAGACAUUGCAAGCUGAACUUCCUCCAAGGAGCAAGGAUGGGACUGUAGCCUCUUAUGAAUCUGGCUAUCAUCCUUCAAUGUGGGCAUCCUAUAAAAUGGGAACUCAGAAGCAAGGCAGCACAGUAAAUGGAUAAAGAUCUCUGCAUAAUGUGCCAAAUUGCAAAUUCAAUAUGUCUAUAAUAGCUCCACAGAGAAGUAAAAUACAGGCUGCUGCCCAAUACAAAAAUAUUCUCAGCUUUAA